UGCAGAUGAGCGGAGCCCGCGCGGGCGGGGGGGCGGCCGGGGCAGCGCCGCCGGGGCCGGGUCGGCGGCCGGCGCACUAUGCGAGGCCGGGAGGAUGGCGGUGGAAGCUAUCCAUUGCAAUCUGAAUCCAAAUGGUAUUGAUCACCCUGUCCCCACAGAAGGCAUUAACCUGCAGCUAGAAGGCGAAGGAGUUGAUUCGCUGGCAGUGAAGAACACUGGUACUCCCAAAGGGCCUGAGUCAAAAGACACACCCAAGAGACAAGUGGAGCCAGAAAUAUCUAAGUCUGGGACUGUGAAGCUGACUAAGCCUGUGGCGUUAUGGACCCAGCAGGAUGUCUGCAAGUGGUUGAAGAAACAUUGCCCUAAUCAGUAUCAAAUCUACAGUGAGUCAUUCAAACAGCAUGACAUAACUGGCCGUGCUUUGCUGAGACUUACUGACAAAAAGCUUGAACGAAUGGGCAUUGCCCAGGAAAGCCUGAGACAGCACAUUCUGCAGCAAGUCCUUCAGCUGAAGGUGAGGGAAGAAGUCCGAAACCUCCAGCUGCUUACACAAGAGCUGCUUUAAUGCCUGCCUGCCUGGCUCCCAUCCAUCCUGUUACAGUGGUUCUGUGACACUAACCACUGACAGCGUUGACUUUUGUAUGUCUCUGCUCAAACCUGGAAGGUUCUGAGGGUCAUCAAAAGGCAGCCAGCCCUCACAGCCCAUCAAGCCCCAGCAGAGAGCUCUCCAUAAACAUUUCCAGCCUCUAAAGCUGCUGUCCUGCCACUUGAUAUGAAAGCGAACUUUCCUUCAUGAAAAAACCACAAUAAAUGGCGCUGCCAGAAGAUGACCAUGGAGGAUUGAAGACAAACUUGAAGUAAAAUCAGCCUACUCAGCUGAUACAUUCUGGGGAGACCUGGUUUGCUGUGGAGUAAAUAUGUGGUGCAAAAUAUCCAAAAUAUCUAAUUUGUUGAAAAUGGUCAUUGACAGACCUUUAGCUGGAAAAUUUCUUCCAGUCUUCAUCACUGUGCAUAACUUUUGAGUUCCCUUUAGGGGACUGUCUAUGCCCUUCACUAGAAGUCCUGUUUUAGCAUGGCAACUACUGGAUUCUUUUAUUAUGUAUGCAGAUGGCAUGAUGUUUUAGGAAAAACUUACAACAAUUCUCCAAUCUCAGUGGAUAUGUUCACAAUAUUACACCCUGAUAGGAAUGUAAACGUCUUGUAUGUGUUAGUUUUGCAGUCUAAUGGUAUUCUGUUAAACAAUAUCAGCACUUCAUAUGUGCUUUUCUAACAGAACUAGCACAGUCCAUAUAUAUAUAAUGGUCCUUUUUUAAAAUUCUGAGGAUAUGUUUCAGUGUUUGUGCUGAGACUGCAUCCAAACUAAGCCCAGUACUAGCAUCCCUUCACUGGUUCACAGUAGGUUGUGUAGAUAGAUUUGCACGUGGCAGAGAUGUGACUUCUUUUAUCAAGACUUAGAGAAGAGCUGUCACAGAGGUAGCCAAAACCAGGGUAGUUUGAAGGAGCGGUAGGAUACUGUGUCUGCUCUCCCUCUCACCCACCAAAUGUCAAAGGGUCCUGUUGUUGGUGUGCCAGUGUGUUUUCUAACUCAGCGAGGGAGAGGCAAGGGAGAGCUUUUCUCAGACGUGUAUGUGACCCUGGGUUUGGUCUGCAAUAAAACCAGAAUAAACUGGAAGAAUUCAGGUUCUUUAUGCUGGCCACCACUUAUGUUUUGGGCAGGGCUGGGAAAUUGUAGUCCAAACCAAACUCUCUAAAAAGGUAAAGUGUAAGUCUAUACUUCUAGGGAGCAAGACACUCCCUUUGGAGAGGGGAGAUUUCUUCAUUAACUUUUUCCACUUUCUACUCAAAACAGUAUUUUGGUAGGAACUGGGAAUAAGCAAAUGGUUCCAAUAAGCCUUUCAAUAUACUGUAGCAGGCUCAUGACUGUUGCAUUCAAUCUGAACGUUGUUUUUUGUUCAGUCUCUGAAUGGCUGACCUCAUCACUGGUUGUAUCACAGCUGGCUGUGGUGCUGUUUCUUCCAUGGGGACUCAGUGGAAUUUGUGUCUGUCCCUUACAUCAGGACCUUCUCAGCACACUCUUUAUAAUGAACUGAUGUCAUCAACAUUCUGAGGGGGCUUACCUCUUUGUUCCUUCUUCCUUUAAAAUCAAAGGUAGCUUUUUUGUGUACUUAAAGACUGUCACUCUCUCCAGCCUGAUAGAGUAGAGUAGAGUUAGCAUUAAUUCCAAACUCUGCAUGAGACAAUGCUGUGUGAAGGUGCAAUGAUGGAGAGAAUGUGCAGUUAGAGUAAGUCACAGGCACCUUUCUGGAGGAAGCUCCUGUGUUAUAAUUCUUAAAAACUGUUGUGCAGUUCAUUGCUAGAGAGUGGAAGGUCAACCACUGAGGGUGCCUGUACAACAAACAGAUAAUUAUCUUCAGGGUUUAUUUUUUUUUAAGAUGGUUAUGGGCUUAGGUUUCAGCUCUCCACCCGUCUCAUAUUCAGCAUAGUGGAUACUUCUAUAGCACUCAGUGCAAAAGCAAAAUAUUUUUACUGGUGACAAAGAUUUUCAGAAGUUGCUAGCGAUUUUUAAUGGUUUGGGUCUUUCCAUGGAUUCUCAAAUGGAGCUCCCAAGAAUUACAAAGUAGUAAUCUUCUACAUUCUCUUUCUGAAAGUCCUGGUCCCCAAUUUCAAAUUAAUUGGUGUAAAAAUUCUCCUUAAAACAUAAGGAUCUUUGCCAAUUGCAACAUUUGCACUUUUUAGAGCUUUUCAUAGGGUUGCAGGUUGGAAUCUGAUACCAAUAGAGCUGGCCAUGUGCAUGGCACAGGUCCACUGUAAGCUUCAGCAAAUUUUACAGCUCUUUCUGCUACAGGUUUUAAAAAUGCACUCUGACAACUGACAUCAAUUUCAUGUUGGUAAAGCAGUUAAAAACAAAAUACUUUGAUUGAUAUGUUAAAUUAAAAAGAGAAUGCUAUACUUCUACAGUAGUUCUCUUAUUUUACUACCCAGUGAAAAAAAUCCAGAAUAAUUUGAAUGAUAAAAGAAGAGUUUAUCAGAGAAUCUUAUCUUGAAAGGGUGUGUGAGAAGAAGUUGGGUUAGGCAGAGAGCCACCAGAAGCUUUUUUUGUAUCAAUGUUAGUUUUGAACAUCUUCCAGUAUAUGGGCAUGAAUUUAGAUGUGUGCACUUAUCCUGUUAAAACAGUUUGUUUUAAAAGCUUCCCAGGAUUUUAGCUAUGGUGACCUAGAAAAGCAGUGUUAUAGGCCCUGAGAAAUGUGAAAAUCAAGUCCAGACCCUUGAGUAGCCAGACUCUGAGAGAUGUCUGCUGUAGGUGCCUAUUGGACAAACCUCCCCUGGAGCUGGUUGGUCUCCAUCCUGCAGCCAGCCUAUGCAUGUGGAUAACUGCAAGCAUAGCCCCCCGAGCCCCGUGACACUUCUCACGUGUGUGACUGUCUGCCAGAGCCAUAAGGAAAUAACUGUACUUUUUGGCUUGUAUUUAACUAUUCAUUGUGUUUGGAUUUUUUUAAUCACUGUUAUUCUCCCAAAGUAGGCCAUGCUUCCUCAGGGAUAUUUAUGAAAUUGUUCUACAUCUCCUGAACAACUAUCUGGAUCCCAGCAUAUUCUUCUGAAAACUUUUUAAUAUAAAUAAACAUGUGGGAGAGGUUUUUGUUCUUAUGAAUGGGGGCAGGUACUGUGUUCUCGGAAAGGCUGUUGAGUGCAGACAAUCAAGUCUAUUGCAUUUUUUAUGCUGAACACCUUAUUAAUACCAGACAUAUCCGCUUUUGCCUGGGUCGCAGGAACAGUUCAGGGGAAAGAAUGCUUUAUCUCCAGUCAAUAAAUCAUUUAUGUCGAGAGUGCCAAAGACCAAGUCAACAUGAAAGGGAGCAAAUAAGUUAUUCCGGCAAAGGAAGUGAAUUUAAAUAUGCUCAGAGCCAUUAGUUCACUGCAAAAGAGUGGAAGACUAAUGCUGUUUUCAUAAAGCAGCCAUUAUCAGCCAGUGCAGAUAGAUAAAUUCAUCAAGGCCAUGCUGCUGUUACAGUGAUCACCAGUUAUUAUCUCUGAGACAGGGCAGGGUUGUGACCAGGACCCUGUUCCUGUGCAGGCCUGCAGCCCUCCUCCCAGCCUGGAGCCUGCCCUGCUGCCACGCUCCCCUGGCUUCCCUGUGCCAGGUUCAGCAUCAGAUCCCUCCAGGAAUCCCUGGCAGAGCUCAGCCAUCCCGAGUGCUCCGCUCCAUGACACGGCCUCCACCAGAAACCUGAGGAAUUGCUCACCCCAGAGAGCACACUGCAGCUGAGAUCAUCCUUUGCACUGUUUUGUUCCUCGUUUCUUUUUCAGCUGGGUGGCUUUCUGUGCCUGAACACCUGCCAUUUACUCUGUUAAGAAAAAAGGCAGCCUUCCAGGAAGGGAGUUUGGAAAAGCUCCAUGAGCUCUUUGGUUUUGCUGGUCCAGAUGCAUGGCAGUGCUGUACCAGUGAGUCCACCCCUCCCUGUCUCUUCCUUAGGGUAAGUGUUGUCACUCAACUGCAGCUGCAAUGUCAUUGAGGAAAUGAAACCAUUAAAAACUACAAAAUUCUGGGUUUGCCCUGAAUUUUCAGAAGACCCCAUGGCAGACCCUGGCAGACCUCCAUUGGCACUACUCCAUCACAGGCUCCAGAGAUGUGUUGAUUAGUGCCAGCCAAGGAGCCAGUAUCGAGGUGGCAUUUUUUUGUGAUCACUAAAAUGAACCUCCUCCACCUGCCGCAAAGCCAAAAGAUCUGCAUUAUUCAAAAUAAAGCAAAGUCACAUUGGUCCCCUUAAGAGUUACCAUCUCUGCCAUCAGAGUCUCCUUGAACAGCUCUGCUGCAAAACUGCAAUUAACCCUGGUAUAUAUAGGCUGUCAAUAAGAUUUUAAUUUAAAAAGAGAAGGUCCUUUGGUAUAAUUAAAAUUGAUGGGUGAGGGGAAAAUAUGACCAGCAUUACCUGCAACCUCUUAUAGUAAAAUUCAGGAAAGUAAUCUGGAGGGCAAAAAACCCACCAACAUAAUGUAUGGGUGAUUAGGCAGGCUCAUGAGGAUAAAUCAGCAAGUAAGGAAAGUAGAUGCUUAAUGAAGGAAGCCAAAAAUGUAUGGGAAGUCAGUGGCAAAUAGGUUAGGGCUGGUUACACCAAAGACUUUACAUAUAUCCUAAUAAAUACUGCCAUAUCAAAGCUAAGUGUGAUGUUAGACAGGCCCAGCACAGAGAUUGCUCACACUACAUUGGAAACCCAACAAACAGUCUUGUUUUGUAUUUGAAAGCAGUGGAAGGAGAGAGUCAGAUUACACAUUAAAAUGUAAUUCCUCCUGCUCCAUCAAGUAGUUACAGGUAAUAUUAAGCAGUAGCUAUCCAAACAUAAUUUUAAAUUUGUUGAACCAUUACCUGAAUCCAAAAGUGAAGGAAAAAUUUGCCUAGGACUCCUCAGAACCAGAAAACAUAAAGGAAGCUUCAAAUGACACCAGACCCACAAUAAUGCAGAAGAAUGAGUGGUUUGAUACAGAAAACUAUAGACUCAUUAGCUUCCUAUCGGUCUUAGGCAAAAUCAUGGAAAAGUUGAUAAGGUGUAAUCAUUAGAGUAAUUGAUAAAAUUGUUCAUAUUAUUUUUAUAGAACUGUAUUAUGCCAAAUAAACUUGCUAUUAUUUUUGUGGUAUCAAAGGAUUGUUGAGAAAAGAGGCUCUGCUGGCAUACUAUACUUAGCCUCCUACAGAGCAUUUGAUUCUGAUAAAGAACAAAAUAGCACAAUGCAAAAUCAAUAUCACCCAUAUUUCAUGGAUUAAAAAUGGAUUACAGGCUGAUCACAAAAAAUAGCUGUAAAUAUGAAUUAUCCUCACUGAGACUAUUUCUGAUGAGCUCCUCCCAAGGUUCGCUCUAUUUUCAAUAUACCCCCCAGGGAAAAUUACUGUUGGCAACAGCCAGAGAUGACAAAAACAGGGGCACAAUAAAUAAUGAUUUGAGCGGGUCAGUACUGGAGAAUAACCUGGAGGACAGAAAAGUUAAAAACCCAGGAGAGAUGGCAGCAAGUCCAACUUAGUAGCAUGGGGAGUAUGCAAUAGCACAGUGGCUGUGAAGGUGUCAUAAAUUAUCUGUUCAGCAUCAGCCCCAGAGAUGCCUUUGCCAGCUGGGAUGUAGGACCUGGCAAUAGUGAUGCCAUUCUAGUCUUUCAAGAAAGGUAUCAACAACCUGGGAAGAUUAUUUUCAAUAGUUCCCAGUGUCAUUCAAGGGCAGGAAAACAGGUCUUAUUAUAGUGUCAAACUAAUGAAGCUCAAGCUAUUAAUUUAUCUCAGAAGCAAUUUGAAGCAGUGACUUGAUCUCUGUCUGCAAUCACAGUCUUCUACCUGGGCAGGGAAACGCUGUCUGAAGGCAGGUGGCUCUUCUGUUUGGAGGAAAAGGGAAUGAUGUGCUCUGCUGGUUGGAAACUGAUUUCAGGCUAGAAUUUAAGUGCAAAUACUCACCAGGGAGGAUAAUUACCAGUGGAGACAACAUACUCAGUUACCUGGUAUGUUCUCCAUCACAUAAAGUCUUUAAAUGUAUGCACAGUAUUUUUCUAAGUCAAAAAGCUCUACCUCAAACUGAAGCCCAGGCGUGGGGCAGCAAUUACUGGAUGAAGUUAUUAGGCAUGUGUUAUGCAAGGAUUAGACUAGAUCAUCAGAUGUAAACUUCUGAAUUAAAAAUAUCCUGAAGUUUCCAAUAUUACAGGAAGGCAGGGUGAUCUAUAUCCUCUUUUUUUCCUCUCCCCCACAAAAUGGUAUUAAUUUAAACAGCUUCUGUGGACAGCUCUGCAUUUGGUAUGAGCAUCACUAGCUAGGUCUGCUCAAGUUGUAAGGUUCUGCUGCACAUAUUUAAAGGAUGAGAACUGGACAAGAAAGGACAACAAAACCCUUGGACAUACCAAGAUUCUUUAGCUUUUCAUUGAUGGCAGCCUGGGACAAAAUGCUCCAUGCAAAUGAUGGGGCCAUGUGGAUGUGUAGUCAAAGCAAGGCACAACAGCUGUGGGUUUGCCUCUUAAGGAGGCAGCAUCUUGCUGGCAAGAAACAGAUUUUCGUGCCUGCAACAAGUCGCAAAGAAGCUGCAGUGCUGAUGGAGAGGGUGAUUGUAUCACUGUGCAGCUGGGCACAGCACACAGGUUCCUUCUUCAAAGACAGCAAAGUUCUGCUCUCAUGAGGAGCCCCACUGGAGCUGGGUAAUAAAGCCCUGCAAGCGAAAUUACAUCAGUGGGAUUACCCAGAGACAUGACAGCUGCUCCCAGCAGUGGGUUUUUGCCAGAUUGGGUCCCAUUACCAUUGGCUGGAUUGAAUGUUGUACUUCAGAAAUAAGCAAAGGAGUACUUGGCGUCUGAUUCAGAUCUCACAAAACCACUGUUGAUGUGCACAAGGCAAGUGUGAACCACUGGAGUCACCUUCUAUGUGCUUCAUCAACUGUGGGAAAAGCACAAACUGGAUGUACAGUCCAAAGAGUAAACAGUUCACACAAACAAGGGAAACUAUAAAAGCAAUACUUACUGCAGAUUGGUCCUGGACACCUUGCAGCUCUGGAGGAGAGUGUUCUGUGAUAGGCAUGGCUGGGAUGGGGUGAAGCUGAACUGGCACAUGACUCUGACAUCUGCUUCUGCCACCAUUAUCACAGCUCAGGCUCAGGCCAGGCUCAGUCUAAGAAGGAAAUGAAAAGCUCCUUUCUGGUACUAAUUCCAAAUAUAUCUAAAUACUUUCUCAGAAAAUAAAAAUCCUCUGUAGUUGUUACACCUCUAAUCACAUUCCUUCUAUUAAGCAUUUGCCUUGAAUUUAUCUAUUUAAUAUCAUGAGUCACCAAAUUAAAUAGCAAAACACAGGGAGUUUUAUAGCAGAGAGAUUGGUAUUGCAGCAAAACUGCAUGUAAGCAAGAAGAAGCUGUGCAGAGAAGGAAAAAAACUCUCAGAUUGUCCCAUCAGAUGCUUGAGAGACUUGCUAAGUUGGUUGGGUUUUUUUCAAUAUUGAGAGGGCAGCUUUACAUCUAGGCAGAAGUUUUCCUUACUGAGCCAGGCUUUGGUCUCAAGAGCAGAUAGAAAAAGAAAUGUUUGGAGUCCUUUUGUCACUUUGUCUGCUUCCCUUGUAUGUAAGAGGCUCCUUCUCUGCACUUCUGAGAAAGGUGGAGAGGAGAUUAAGUGGCAGUAGAAGAAGCACAGAGGGACAGGAGCUUCCAGCCUAUGCAAAGCAUCUCAGCAUGAGACUCACAUCUCAUCCUUCUCCCCUGAAUCCAGCCCCACUGACCAAGGGGAGGAAUGGAGCCAUGCUGGGCUACCCCACAGGCAGAGAGCAGUGCUCAGUCUGUGCUGAGCAGCUCCUGCAGCCACGGCAGGAGACAUUUCCUGGCAGGACUGGACAAUCCCCUGGUGAUGGGAAUGACCAGCAUUUCCCCAGAGGGGAUGUGUCCUCUCAGGAGAAGUCUCCUUUGCUUUGCACUAAGCUGCAGGGAUGCUUGGCAAGGCUAAGAUGAGUAUUUUUAAAUUUCUCACAGAUAUUGCAGAAUCUGAAGGUGGCAGGGCAGUACCUUGGGACAUGCUGGGCUUUGCUUUCAUUUCUUGUAGGGGCUGCAGCUACCUGGACCUGCCUCGAAAUUAUUGUUUCUUUUUCACUGUCUGGGUAAGAUGGGAGGAAUGCCUGCCUGGCUCUGCACACCAUAAACCAGCAACGAGGACUCUAAAUUUGGGGUCCUCUGCUUUGGGGAGUUGAAUUUAGGGUUAUUUGAACAUGACCUUGAGGAUGUCAGGCAGCUGGAAUUGCAGUUGAACCUGAGUUGCGUCCAAAGGCUGCUUCCCAAAAAGGAGCCCAUGGACACAAUCAGGUCCACAUUGGCCUCUGAUGAUGGACAUGAGCUGCAGGGAGUGACAGGAAGGCUGGGAUCAAGGUCCUGAGAGAUCUGGUCUCCUGAUGCAGGACAUGGGAUGCAGAAAGGCUGACUGUGAGCCCUUGGCCAUGGUUGAAGCACUCACUUGAAGCCAGCAAGGCGUGUCUGGUCCUGCUGCCUUGGGACUCAGUUCUGGUUUAGAUUCACUAAGGAAAUACUCUAAGCCAAUGAUCUCCUUUUAAUGUUAACUUGGUUGAUAAUCUAGAAGAUGCCAGCACUCUAAUGCUUAUAAAGUGACACACUGUUAUUCCCAGUACAUCUAUGGCUGAACUUUUUAAUGAUGGAGCCAAAUGAGGUGGCAUGAGACAAAAGUGUGCCUUUUUGUUUGAUGUACACUGCGUUUCCCCAGGCAUCCAAGGUGUUCAGCUGCACAGCAGUGCUUUUUUCCCAAAACAAAACUUAUCAUGCAAACUAAUUUUUAGUACACAAAGUGGCCAUCACUUAAUUCCAACUUACAGCUUUUAUAUUCAGUCUUUACUUCUGUUUUCAAAAAUCAACAAAAAUAAAGCCCGGGCGGGAGGGAGGAGUUCUUUUAAACAAUAAAAUUAAAACCAAUAUCAAGUUUUUGGUAUCUUUGGGCAUGAUCUCUGGAAGCUUUGGGUAUCUGCUUUAUCAUUUUGUAUAUUUGACAAUUUUGUACUCUGCAUUGUUUGACUUCAUUUGUGCAUGGCAAUGUAUUAAAACAUGGAAUUUUUAUUAUA